UACGUAGGGUGCAGGCGUUAAUCGGAAUUAUUGGGCGUAAAGAGCUCGUAGGCGGCUUGUUGCGUCGACUGUGAAAACCCGCGGCUUAACCGCGGGCUUGCAGUUGAUACGGGCAGGCUAGAGUUCGGUAGGGGAGACUGGAAUUCCUGGUGUAGCGGUGAAAUGCGCAGAGAUCAGGAGGAACACCGGUGGCGAAGGCGGGUCUCUGGGCCGAUACUGACGCUGAGGAGCGAAAGCGUGGGGAGCGAACAGG
rnacentral:rRNA from 1 species